AGCUCCAAUAGCGUAUAUUAAAGUUGCUGCAGUUAAAAAGCUCGUAGUUGGAUUUCUAGCGAGGCACGAGAAUAUCCACCUAUGGUGAAUACUUCUCUCGCCUUGCUCUUCUUUAGUUGAUGUCUCUGGCAUUAAGUUGUCGGAGUCCUGAGACUAAUCGUUUACUGUGAGAAAAUUAGAGUGUUCAAAGCAGGCUUAUGCCGUUGAAUAUAUUAGCAUGGAAUAAUAAGAUAGGACUUCGGUACUAUUUUGUUGGUUUGCGUACUGAUGUAAUGAUAAAUAGGGACUGGCGUGGGUAUUCGUAUUAUGAUGUCAGAGGUGAAAUUCUUAGAUUAUCGUAAGACGAACGACUGCGAAAGCAUUUACCAAGGAUGUUUUCA
rnacentral:rRNA from 1 species